rnacentral:rRNA from 1 species
AACAGGUUCCCUAGUACUGCGAGUGAAGAGGGAAAAGCUCAAAUUUAAAAUCUGGCAGUCUUAGAUUGUCCGAGUUGUAAUUUAGAGAAGUGUUACCCGCGUUGGACCGUGUAUAAGUCUCCUGGAAUGGAGCGUCAUAGAGGGUGAGAAUCCCGUCUUUGACACGGACUACCAAGGCUUUGUGGUGCGCUCUCAAAGAGUCGUGUUGUUUGGGAAUGCAGCACUAAAUGGGUGGUAAAUUCCAUCUAAAGCUAAAUAUUGGCGAGAGACCGAUAGCGAACAAGUACCGUGAGGGAAAGAUGAAAAGAACUUUGGAAAGAGAGUUAAACAGUACGUGAAAUUGCUGAAAGGGAAACGCUUGAAGUCAGUCGCGUUGGCUAGGGAUCAACCUUGCUUUUGUGGGGUGUACUUCCUAAUCAACGGGUCAACAUCAGUUUUGAUCAUUGGAAAAAGGCUAGUUGAAUGUGGCAUCUCCGGAUGUGUUAUAGCUUCUAGUCAUAUACAGUGGUUGGGACUGAGGAACUCAGCACGCCGCAAGGCCGGGUUUUAACCACGUACGUGCUUAGGAUGUUGGCAUAAUGGCUUUAAGCGACCCGUCUUGAAACACGGACCAAGGAGUCUAACAUGCCUGCGAGUGUUUGGGUGGUAAACCCGAGCGCGUAAUGAAAGUGAAAGUUGAGAUCCCUGUCGUGGGGAGCAUCGACGCCCAUACCAGAGCUUUUUGUGACGGAUAUGCGGUUGAGCAUGUAUGUUGGGACCCGAAAGAUGGUGAACUAUGCCUGGAUAGGGUGAAGCCAGAGGAAAACUCUGGUGGAGGCCUCGUAGCGAUUCUGACGUGCAAAUCGUGUCGUUCGAAUUUGGGUAUAGGGGCGAAACGACUAAUCGAACCAUCUAGUAGCUGCUCUGCGAAG